rnacentral:rRNA from 1 species
CAGUAGCCGCGGGAAUACGUAGGUGGCAAGCGUUGUCCGGAUUUACUGGGCGUAAAGCGAACGCAGGCGGACUGUUAAGUAGGAAGUGAAAGGUCGGAGCUCAACUCCAACAUUGCUUCCUAUACUGGCAGUCUUGAGUAGCGGAGAGGAAGGGGGAACGACACGUGUAGCGGUGAAAUGCGUUGAUAUGUGUCGGAACACCCAUGGCGAAAGCACCCUUCUGGACGCAAACUGACGCUCAGGUUCGAAAGCCAAGGUAGCGAACAGGAUUAGAUACCCCCGUAGUCCCUGUCUCUUAUCC